GCGGCUGUAGCUCAGUGGAUAGAGCGCUUCCCUCCGGAGGAAGAAGUCGGGGGUUCGAGUCCCUUCAGCCGCG
rnacentral:tRNA from 1 species